rnacentral:piRNA from 1 species
AUAUUCUUUAUCGUGCCUAC